rnacentral:rRNA from 1 species
GACGAACGCUGGCGGCGUGCCUAAUACAUGCAAGUCGAGCGAAUCAUUAGGAGCUUGCUCCUGAUGGUUAGCGGCGGACGGGUGAGUAACACGUGGGCAACCUGCCUAUAAGACUGGGAUAACUUCGGGAAACCGGAGCUAAUACCGGAUAAUCCUUUUCCACACAUGUGGGAAAGCUGAAAGACGGUUUCGGCUGUCACUUAUAGAUGGGCCCGCGGCGCAUUAGCUAGUUGGUGAGGUAAUGGCUCACCAAGGCGACGAUGCGUAGCCGACCUGAGAGGGUGAUCGGCCACACUGGGACUGAGACACGGCCCAGACUCCUACGGGAGGCAGCAGUAGGGAAUCUUCCGCAAUGGACGAAAGUCUGACGGAGCAACGCCGCGUGAACGAUGAAGGCCUUCGGGUCGUAAAGUUCUGUUGUUAGGGAAGAACAAGUAUCGGAGUAACUGCCGGUACCUUGACGGUACCUAACCAGAAAGCCACGGCUAACUACGUGCCAGCAGCCGCCGUAA